rnacentral:tRNA from 1 species
AGUGGUUAAGUGUUUGGCUGCUAACCAAAAGGCUGGCAGUUCAAACCUACCAGCCACUC